rnacentral:rRNA from 1 species
AUUGAACGCUGGCGGCAUGCUUUACACAUGCAAGUCGAACGGUAACAGGCCUUCGGGUGGUGACGAGUGGCGAACGGGUGAGUAAUGCAUCGGAACGUACCCAGAGGUGGGGGAUAACGCAGCGAAAGCUGUGCUAAUACCGCAUGUGAUCUGAGGAUGAAAGCGGGGGACCGAGCAGCAAUGUUUGGCCUCGCGCCUUUGGAGCGGCCGAUGUCGGAUUAGCUAGUUGGUGGGGUAAAGGCCUACCAAGGCGACGAUCCGUAGCUGGUCUGAGAGGACGACCAGCCACACUGGGACUGAGACACGGCCCAGACUCCUACGGGAGGCAGCAGUGGGGAAUUUUGGACAAUGGGCGCAAGCCUGAUCCAGCAAUGCCGCGUGCGGGAAGAAGGCCUUCGGGUUGUAAACCGCUUUUGGCAGGAACGAAACGGUGUCCGCUAAUACCGGGCGCUAAUGACGGUACCUGCAGAAUAAGCACCGGCUAACUACGUG